AAAGGGACAUGGAGGCCACCAUCCUUCCUAAGGAGUCGUUUGGAUUUUUAAUAAAGCUGAGAUCUUUAAAUAUUGAGAAAAGCACUCUCUCAACUUGAUUUUCCUCUCCCUCUUUUUUUUUUUUUUUUCUUUUUGAAGAAGAAAAAUUAGAAUCCGAUUGCAAUUGUGCAAUGAAAUUGUCAUUUCCUGGGGAUAUUAUCUUAAUUUGUGUACAGAUAGAAAAGAAAAGGAAACAUAUUUGAUUGAAGAUAAAACACAAGGUAAAUCAGUUUUCAGAUAAUUUUAAAAUCAAAACUAGAAAAUAUAUUCACUUUAUCUGAGCAGUUUCCAAACAUUGCCUAAGAGUUGUACGCUAUGUUAUGGGUCACAAAAGAAAGAGCAAUGUGAAGUCUUGACGACAAAAGUAAUGGCCCAAUUGCAAGCCGGCCGAUCCUUAUGGAGAAGAAGCAGCCGACAAGAACCCCAAAGAUCUUAACAGAUAAGAAACCAUAUAAGCUGGCUUGGUAUAGAGGUCAUGUAUCCGUCCGACCAAUCGAUGAAGUAAAGUUCCAGAGCAGAUCAAUUAUAAUUUAGGUACUAACGAACAAGAGAGUUCUUAUACCUGUUGAUUCCACAGUGUAAUCAACGGGUAUAAUCUUCAGGAGUUGUUUUUUGCUUCCUCUCUUUUCUCAAUCCAAUGAUGGAAAUUGUAGAUGCGAACCUUUUCUGAUCAAUUCCUUCCUGUGCUCUCAAUUCAGAUGCUGCCGAUCUUUUUCCCUUCCAUGGCUAUGUCUUAGAACAAAGAGUUUCUAGUGGCAAGCAGAAGCACCAAGGCAUGUUGAUCUAGCCAAUGUUGCAGAGGAAGAUAAUGUAGUCUCUGGUUUUCAUGUCAUAAACUAGGCCCGGAUCCAUUGCUUUGGAAGGGUGUAUGUGGCCAGCACCAAUGUCAAAGGGGUCGGAAACUUUCCUUGAUCCUCCAGCUAGGAUGCUGUCAAAUGUGUUGUCCCUUGUAUAUGCUGGUGAGAGAACAGAACAAAGUGACAAACUUUCACACAUGCCAUUAAAUCAUACAAAAUCUUUGUUUUCCACUAGGAAAUGUGGAUGCUGGAUUUUAAGCUUUUAGCUGUAAACCAAUGAAGAAGUGUUUUGGGGAGGAUUUGGGGUCUUUUAGAAUCUUCUUCCACAUCCUAUUCUAUCCAAGGUUCAACUUCUAUAAAAAAAAAAAAAGCGAGGAAAGCAAAGGAAAUAAGCAAAUUAGGUGACCUUGUAGUGAAGUCCAGUAGCAUUAUAGGCAUGCACCGUAUGGUCCAUGGACAACAAUAGCAUUGUGUGAACGGUACAGGAAAGGGUUUCUUUUUUACCUGUGGUCAUUACAGCAGAUCUAAUGGCUGCGGGAGACCAAUCAGGGUGAGCUGAUUUGAGAAGUGCGACUACUCCAGACACAUGAGGGCAUGACAUUGAUGUUCCUGAUUGAAAGUUCCAAUUCACACGGCGAUCAUCAAAUGGUAACAAUGUUGGAGAAGUCUUGGCGGGCCAUGCUGCCAAUAUGGUAACUCCUGGAGCAGUUACAUCUGGCUGUCAUGAGAAAAUAAAUAGGAAAAAUGAAGAGAGCACAAGGAAGCCGACUGUAAUUGUGUAAACUGGAUAUUUUUUGCAAGAAGCAUACCUUGAGGAUGUCAGGAGAAAUUGGACUCGGGCCUCUAGAAGAGAAGGAUGCUACAACAGGUGCUGGUGACUUUCCAAUAGCUGUUUUACUCGGCAAUAUCUUCACCACAGGAUUCCUUCAUGGUCCAAAACUUUCAUGUUAGAAACUGGUCGAGUUUGUUCUGUAACAACAGUGUAUUGUUUUCUAGUUCUAUUAGCUGUUCCCAUCCAUUAA